AUUGAACGCUAGCGGCAGGCUUAACACAUGCAAGUCGAACGAGUGGCGGACGGGUGAGUAAUGUAUGGGAAACUGCCUGGUAGAGGGGGAUAACUACUGGAAACGGUAGCUAAUACCGCAUACCAUCGGAUGUGCCGAGAUUUGAUUAGCUAGUAGGUGGGGUAAAGGCUCACCUAGGCGACGAUCCCUAGCUGGUCUGAGAGGAUGACCAGCCACACUGGAACUUAGACACGGCCCAGACUCCUACGAGAGGCAGCAGUGGGGAAUAUUGCACAAUUGGUGCAAGCCUGGUUCAGCCAUCCCGCUUGUAUGAUGAAGGCCUUCGGGUUGUAAAGUACUUUCAGCGUGGAGGCUUUACCCGCAGAAGAAGCACCGGAUAACUCCGUGCCAGCAGCCGCGGUAAUUC
rnacentral:rRNA from 1 species